UUCCUUUAUCAGCAAAACAUACAUGUUUUUAUCAACAAAUAGGUUCCCUGCUAUAAAACUACCUGUUAAUCUCAAUUCCUGAGUUCUCAGCCAACAUAAGCAUCGACAAGAUCAGGAGCACCGACUAAAAUACACUAUCGGCAAAAACAAAUGGAAGGCAAGAUGCCAAUCAAUCAUCCAUUGCUAGUAAGUGAGAAUGCAAGGAGAACAAACAGGAGGGUGAAUGUUGCCAAGGACCAAGGAGGCAUCCCUAUAUCUUAUAGACAAUGAAAGUAAAACCGCAGGAAAUUCUUUACAUGAAAGUAAUAAACCAC
rnacentral:lncRNA from 1 species